UAGGGAAUCUUCCACAAUGGACGCAAGUCUGAUGGAGCAACGCCGCGUGAGUGAAGAAGGUUUUCGGAUCGUAAAGCUCUGUUGUUGGUGAAGAAGGAUAGAGGCAGUAACUGGUCCUUAUUUGACGGUAAUCAACCAGAAAGUCACGGCUAACUACGUGCCAGCAGCCGCGGUAAUACGUAGGUGGCAAGCGUUGUCCGGAUUUAUUGGGCGUAAAGCGAGCGCAGGCGGAAUGAUAAGUCUGAUGGGAAAGCCCACGGCUCAACCGUGGAACUGCAUCGGAAACUGUCAGUCUUGAAUGAAGAAGAGGAGAGUGGAAUUCCGUGUGUAGCGGUGGAAUGCGUAGAUAUGUGGAAGAACACCAGUGGCGAAGGCGGCUCUCUGGACUGCAACUGACGCUGAGGCUCGAAAGCAUGGGUAGCGAACAGG
rnacentral:rRNA from 1 species